UGAACGCUGGCGGCGUGCCUAAUACAUGCAAGUCGAGCGAACGGACGAGAAGCUUGCUUCUCUGAUGUUAGCGGCGGACGGGUGAGUAACACGUGGAUAACCUACCUAUAAGACUGGGAUAACUUCGGGAAACCGGAGCUAAUACCGGAUAAUAUUUUGAACCGCAUGGUUCAAAAGUGAAAGACGGUCUUGCUGUCACUUAUAGAUGGAUCCGCGCUGCAUUAGCUAGUUGGUAAGGUAACGGCUUACCAAGGCAACGAUGCAUAGCCGACCUGAGAGGGUGAUCGGCCACACUGGAACUGAGACACGGUCCAGACUCCUACGGGAGGCAGCGGUAGGGAAUCUUCCGCAAUGGGCGAAAGCCUGACGGAGCAACGCCGCGUGAGUGAUGAAGGUCUUCGGAUCGUAAAACUCUGUUAUUAGGGAAGAACAUAUGUGUAAGUAACUGUGCACAUCUUGACGGUACCUAAUCAGAAAGCCACGGCUAACUACGUG
rnacentral:rRNA from 1 species